GAACGCUGGCGGCGUGCUAAUACAUGCAGUCGAGCGAAUGAUGAAGAAGCUUGCUUCUUCUGAUUUAGCGGCGGACGGGUGAGUAAACACGUGGGCAACCUACCUAGUAGAUUGGGAUAACUCCGGGAAACCGGGGCUAAUACCGAAUAAUCCAUUUUGUCACAUGGCAAAAUGCUGAAAGGCGGUUUCGGCUGUCACUACUAGAUGGGCCCGCGGUGCAUUAGCUAGUUGGUGGGGUAACGGCCUACCAAGGCAACGAUGCAUAGCCGACCUGAGAGGGUGAUCGGCCACAUUGGGACUGAGACACGGCCCAAACUCCUACGGGAGGCAGCAGUAGGGAAUCUUCCACAAUGGACGAAAGUCUGAUGGAGCAACGCCGCGUGAGUGAUGAAGGUUUUCGGAUCGUAAAACUCUGUUGUUAAGGGAAGAACAAGUACGUUAGUAACUGAACGUACCUUGACGGUAC
rnacentral:rRNA from 1 species